rnacentral:rRNA from 1 species
AUGAACGCUGGCGGCGUGCCUAAUACAUGCAAGUCGAGCGAACAGAUGAGGAGCUUGCUCCUCUGACGUUAGCGGCGGACGGGUGAGUAACACGUGGAUAACCUACCUAUAAGACUGGGAUAACUUCGGGAAACCGGAGCUAAUACCGGAUAAUAUAUUGAACCGCAUGGUUCAAUAGUGAAAGACGGUCUUGCUGUCACUUAUAGAUGGAUCCGCGCCGCAUUAGCUAGUUGGUAAGGUAACGGCUUACCAAGGCAACGAUGCGUAGCCGACCUGAGAGGGUGAUCGGCCACACUGGAACUGAGACACGGUCCAGACUCCUACGGGAGGCAGCAGUAGGGAAUCUUCCGCAAUGGGCGAAAGCCUGACGGAGCAACGCCGCGUGAGUGAUGAAGGUCUUCGGAUCGUAAAACUCUGUUAUUAGGGAAGAACAAAUGUGUAAGUAACUAUGCACGUCUUGACGGUACCUAAUCAGAAAGCCACGGCUAACUACGUG